rnacentral:rRNA from 1 species
ACGGGAGGCAGCAGUGGGGAAUAUUGCACAAUGGGCGCAAGCCUGAUGCAGCAACGCCGCGUGAGGGAAGACGGUUUUCGGAUUGUAAACCUCUGUCUUUGGUGACGAAGAAGUGACGGUAGCCAAGGAGGGAGCCACGGCUAACUACGUGCCAGCAGCCGCGGUAAUACGUAGGUGGCAAGCGUUAUCCGGAAUUACUGGGUGUAAAGGGAGCGCAGGCGGGAUAGCAAGUCAGCGGUGAAAAUUAUGGGCUUAACCCAUAAACUGCCGUUGAAACUGUUAUUCUUGAGUGAAGUAGAGGCAGGCGGAAUUCCGAGUGUAGCGGUGAAAUGCGUAGAUAUUCGGAGGAACACCAGUGGCGAAGGCGGCCUGCUGGGCUCUAACUGACGCUGAGGCUCGAAAGUGUGGGGAGCAAACAGGAUUAGAUACCCUGGUA